ACUCCUUCCCCAGGUGUGACGGGGCUUGGUGUUCUCGGCAGCAUAGCACAUUCAUACAUGGUAAGAGUUGCGUAAUGGCUUCCAUACCUUUACAGUGUUGUGUGCCUCCAUGGGGUCUCUGGUCUGGCAUAUGGGACAAAAGGCCCUACUGGUUGACCAUUUGAGUGUAUUAAGACUGGGACAGAACCUUAAUCCACCUGACCAUCGUUAGUAAUUUGAUCUUCUUUUAAUAUUCCAUUGUUUCUCUCUACCAACCCUGCCGCCUGUGUGUCAUAGGGGAGACAGAACCGCUGUUCAAUGUCAGGUUCUAUUGCCCAGUCUUCCAAGUCACGACUUUUGAAAUGUGACCCCCAAUGGCUGUCUAGUUGAUGAGGGUAUCUACCCAUGGUCGUUAGUUUUUCUCCCCUAAGGGCGGCAGCUUGGUUGGCAUGGCUCCAGGGGAAAGCUUGGCUUAGGCCACGCGCAGUGUCCACACAAGCCAAGGCAUCUUCGGAGCCCUCCCGCAGAAGGAGGGGGCCCAUAUAACCAGUUUGUUGAUCCCUCAUCAGCUGGGAACUCUGCUGGAUGGCCCCAGAUUAUUUUGGUAGUUGCCUUGGGCAUUAUUGAAAACAGGCGGGACGUGCUUCUACUGCAUUAACCAUGUCACAGAACUUCAAGGGCAACCUGACAUCCUUGCCAACACGCCACCUUACCGGGCCAUGUGGUGGCCACUCCUUCUGUGCACCCAAUCUGCUGCAUCUACUGAAGAGUCAGCAGAUGGGGUUCUUACCGAGUUAGGGCAUCAGCUUCCUAAUUGCCAGGGGAUGUCAACGCCUCAUGAGCUGAGACAUGGGGAACAGUGAGGACUGCCUCAGGCUCUUGCAGAUGCCCCCAGAUGUCUUUCUACGUAGCCUGACCCCAUAGGCUCAUUCACGGUCAUCCAUCCUGUGCACUGUCAGAGCCAUCAGUGCAAAGAGUGGAUGGCCAGGGCUCAUGAUAAUCACCAGCCAGGCCGCUCUGAGCCCAGCCUACUGGCUGCUGCUGUGCAGCCUUGCCAGAUCCUCGUUCUCUUCCCUCAGUCGCCUCUUCUCUUCCUCCAGAGCUGACUUGUCCCGGAGGAGGUUGCUGUAGGAAGCCUCCAGCUCCCUGUUUUG